CAAACUAGAGCUUGAAUUAAGCAUUUCAUUUACAUUGAAAAGAUAAUAUGUUUUAUUUAGUUUGA
rnacentral:tRNA from 1 species